AACACUUGGAAACAGGUGCUAAUACCGUAUAACAAUCGAAACCGCAUGGUUUUGAUUUGAAAGGCGCUUUCGGGUGUCGCUGAUGGAUGGACCCGCGGUGCAUUAGCUAGUUGGUGAGGUAACGGCUCACCAAGGCCACGAUGCAUAGCCGACCUGAGAGGGUGAUCGGCCACAUUGGGACUGAGACACGGCCCAAACUCCUACGGGAGGCAGCAGUAGGGAAUCUUCGGCAAUGGACGAAAGUCUGACCGAGCAACGCCGCGUGAGUGAAGAAGGUUUUCGGAUCGUAAAACUCUGUUGUUAGAGAAGAACAAGGAUGAGAGUAACUGUUCAUCCCUUGACGGUAUCUAACCAGAAAGCCACGGCUAACUACGUGCCAGCAGCCGCGGUAAUACGUAGGUGGCAAGCGUUGUCCGGAUUUAUUGGGCGUAAAGCGAGCGCAGGCGGUUUCUUAAGUCUGAUGUGAAAGCCCCCGGCUCAACCGGGGAGGGUCAU
rnacentral:rRNA from 1 species